UGCAGUCGAGCGGCAGCGCGGGGCAACCUGGCGGCGAGCGGCGAACGGGUGAGUAAUGCAUCGGAACAUGUCCAUGUCGUGGGGGAUAGCCCGGCGAAAGCCGGAUUAAUACCGCAUACGCCCUUAGGGGGAAAGCAGGGGACCGCAAGGCCUUGCGCGAUUGGGUUGGCCGAUGUCCGAUUAGCUAGUUGGCGGGGUAAGAGCCCACCAAGGCGAUGAUCGGUAGCUGGUCUGAGAGGAUGAUCAGCCACACUGGGACUGAGACACGGCCCAGACUCCUACGGGAGGCAGCAGUGGGGAAUUUUGGACAAUGGGGGCAACCCUGAUCCAGCCAUUCCGCGUGAGUGAAGAAGGCCUUCGGGUUGUAAAGCUCUUUUGUCCGGAACGAAACGGUUAGGUCUAAUAAGCCUGACUACUGGCGGUACCGGAAGAAUAAGCACCGGCUAACUACGUGCCAGCAGCCGCGGUAAUACGUAGGGUGCGAGCGUUAAUCGGAAUUACUGGGCGUAAAGCGUGCGCAGGCGGUUUUGUAAGCCAGAUGUGAAAGCCCCGGGCUUAACCUGGGAAUGGCAUUUGGGACUGCAAAGGCUGGAGUUUGGCAGAGGAGACUGGAAAUUCCUGGUGUAGCAGUGAAAUGCGUAGAUAUCAGGAGGAAUACCGAUGGCGAAGGCAGGUCUCUGGGCUAUAACUGACGCUUCAUGCACGAAAGCGUGGGGGAAGCAAACAGGAUUAAAAUACCCUGGUAGUCCACCGCCCUAAACGAUGUCGACUGGUUGUUGGGGGUUUGACACUCUCAGUACGAAGCUAACGCGUGAAGUCGACCGCUUGGGGAGUACGCGCAAGUUAACUCAAGAUGGACGGACCGCCAGCGGUGGAUAAUGUGAUAUCGAUGC
rnacentral:rRNA from 1 species